AUUAAGUCGAACGCGAACCGCUUUCGGGGGGAGAGGAGUGGAAAACGUGUGUAUAACAUGUGCGCUAUGUGCCUUGCUCUCGGAGAUAACUCCGGGAAACCGUAUCUUAUACCAUAUAACACGUUCCAGGGUCUCCUGGGGGGUGAAAAUCUCCCGCGGAGCGAGAAGACCCCGCCCUCUAUCCUCUGGGUGGAGGGGUGACCUCCCCCCAGGGACAACACGGGUACCCCGUCUGAGAGGGCCACCGGCCACUGUGACACUGACACACCCCCCACACUCCUACGAGAGGCAGCUGUGGAAAAUAUUGCACAGUGGGAACACCCCUGAUGCCGCCACCCCGCGUGAGAGAUGACCGUCUUCGUGUUGAACACCUUUUUCAACAGGAAAAAAGCGCGUGUGACUGCACGUGCAAAAAAAGCACCCUCUAUCUACGUGCCAACACCCGCGAAUAUACAUAGGGUGCGAGCUUUGUCCAGAUUUAUUGCGUGUAAAGAUCUCAUACGCCUUCUGUCGUCUCUUAUGUAAAACCCCGGCUCUUAACCCCGUCUCUGCAUUCUAUACGGACGCGCUAGAUUUCUAUAGGAGAUAUCAGAUUUUCUGGUGUAGCUGAGAUAUGCACAUAUAUCGAGAAGAACACCUGUGGAAAGCGCAUAUCUCUGGCCAUAUACUGACUCAGAAGAGCAAACGCGUGGAGAGCAAACGAGAUUAUAUACCCUGAUAGUACACCCCGUACACGUUGCACUCUAUGUGUGCGCGGUUUUCCAUGUCGUCUGUGCCGCCUCUCACGCAUUAUGUGCCCCCUCUGGAGAAUACCGCCACGACGCUACUCUCAGAAGUAUUGACGGGCCCCACACAAGCCGCAGCACAUGUGUCAUACUUCCACGCACGCAAACAUCUUACGACGUGUGAUAUACACCAGAAAUCCCAGAGAUGCCCCCCCGUGUGGGCGUGUACAGGUGCACGUCGCUGUCAUCACUCGUGUCAGAGAUGUGUGGUAAAUCCCGGCAAGGGCGCCACCCCUUGUCUGGUGUGCCCGGCAGCCCCUUGGGGUGAUGGGGACUCACGGGAGACCGCCGGGGUCAACUCGGAGGAAGGUGGGGACGACGUCAAGUCAUCAUGCCCCUUAUGUCUUGGGCUGCACACGUGCUACAAUGGCCGGUACAAUGAGCUGCGAUACCGUGAGGUGGAGCGAAUCUCAAAAAGCCGGUCUCAGUUCGGAUUGGGGUCUGCAACUCGACCCCAUGAAGUCGGAGUCGCUAGUAAUCGCAGAUCAGCAUUGCUGCGGUGAAUACGUUCCCGGGCCUUGUACACACCGCCCGUCACGUCACGAAAGUCGGUAACACCCGAAGCCGGUGGCCCAACCCUUUGUGGGAGGGAAUCGU
rnacentral:rRNA from 1 species